ensembl:lncRNA
GGACAUAACGAUAGAGAUAACGAUAGACAUAACAAUGGACAUAACGAUAGACAUAACGAUGGUGACAAAAGGCAGACAAGUGCAAUACCCACAAAACAAGACUUACCACCAUAUAUACAAAAAAUAAAUAAUUAUAUAAAAAAUAUGUGCUUAUUAAAUAAUUACAAAGACAAAGUAAAUAUAAACCAUUUUUUUAUUUGUAAUUAUAUCCUUCAUUUUUUUGUAUGUGAUUUUAUUAAUGAGCAUUUUAAGCAAAUCGCACAAAGGUUAUACUAUUUUUCCGAAUCUGAUACUGCAAUUACUUUAACUGGUAGUACCAAUAAUACUGAAAAUUAUAACAACUAUUUUUUUUCGCAACUUAUAAGUAAUACAUUAGGUGCAAUACAAAAUUUAGACAUCCAUAGAUAUGACAUAUAUAAUACUGUAGCAUAUAUAAUAAUGAAAAAAAAAAAAAAGUUUUCAGAUAAAUCUUAUGCAUAUUGGUAAUAUUAUACAUUCUUUUGCUUCAUUAAAAAUUAGAAACUUGAGUUUAUGUAAGUUGUUGUUAGACGAAUUUUUAAAUCGUUCGUUUGUCUUUGAAAAUGAGGAAUAUAUAAAAAAAGACAUUGGUACAGAGGAUGGUAUUAAUAACAUGGACGUACCAAGUACGACUAUAUACGAACACAUAGAAACUAUUACCGACCAAACAUUAAGUAAUAUAUGUAUCGGUUUACUAAAAUUAGAUUAUUAUAAUGAAAGAUUUACCAAAUUAAUUUGCAAAAAAUAUGAAACUUUAAAAUCGUUACAAUCAUUAAUUAAUAUUACUUUUUAUCUUUGUUACUAUAAUGAUCUAAUUUACGAAUUUAGGGAAAAUAAAAAAAAGUAUUUAAAUUAUUUUUUUAAACAAGUACAUAUCUUAAAAAUAAAUCAAUUAAGUAUACAAAGUAAAACACAAUUAAAAUUAAUCUCAUUUUUAAUAUUAUAUAUUCAUCAUUAUUAUCCUUAUAAAGAACAAACUACUGACUAUAAUGAAGUUUUAUUUAAUACAUUUUUUUUUAAUUAUUUAAACGAAUUAAACAAUGUAGUAUUACAAAAAAAAAAUACUUUAGACGUAACACAUCAGUUAGCAUUUAAUUAUUCUAUCAAAAAAUUUAUAAACUAUAUUUCAAUAUUAAAGCAAAUUAAUAUUACUAGUACAAUGCAUGAAAAUACUACUACUACUACCAACAAAAACCAAGACAAAUAUAACUAUAAUUAUUUAUCUUUCGAUACAUACAACAAAAGUAUUAAUAAAGACAUUCUUAUUGAUCAAAAACAAACCAAACCAAUACAAAGUUAUAAUAAAACAAUAAAUGAAAACAAUACAUUUAAUAACCCUUAUACAAACCUACUACUUGAAAAAAAAAAAAACCCAAACGAACAAGAUCAAAAAAAAGAUUUAAUAACUAUAUACAAUUAUUCCAUAAACAUAUCUGACACUUUUAAUUAUAAACAUAUAAAUAAUAAUAAAUCCAAAAUUCAGUUAUUGGCUUAUACAAAUUUUUUAACUCUCCAGUUUAUUUCUAUAUUACCUUUUCUAAUAAAACCAAUUACAUCUACAUCCUCUUUACAUAAUCAAGUAUAUGAAAUAUUAAUAUCAUUAAAGUUGUCAAGAAAAGUAAUAAAAGAGUUACCACAUUACCCGUACUAUGUCGACAUUGUUAUAGUAUGACAUAAGUGACAACAAAAAAAAAAAAAAAAAAAAAAAUGUACACGUUAUAUAUAUAUAUAUAUAUAUGGAAAUACAUACGUAUAUCCAUAUAUGUUUACGACG